ACCGGCGGCUCGAGUGGUGGCCACUAUUACUGGGCUUAAAGCGUUCGUAGCUGGCUUGUUAAGUCUCUGGGGAAAUCUUCCGGCUCAACCGGAAGGCGUCUCAGGGAUACUGGCAGGCUAGGGACCGGAAGAGGUGAGAGGUACGCCAGGGGUAGGAGGGAAAUGCAGGAAUCCGUGGGGGAGGACCGGUGGCGGAGGGGUAUCACCAGGACGGCUCCGAUAGUGGGGAGCGAAAGUGAGGUGCGCAAGGAG
rnacentral:rRNA from 1 species